UACGGAGGGGGCUAGCGUUGUUCGGAAUUACUGGGCGUAAAGCGCACGUAGGCGGCUUCGCAAGUCAGAGGUGAAAGCCUGGGGCUCAACCCCGGAACUGCCUUUGAGACUGCGUCGCUCGAAUCCGGGAGAGGCGGGUGGAAUUCCGAGUGUAGAGGUGAAAUUCGUAGAUAUUCGGAAGAACACCAGUGGCGAAGGCGGCCCGCUGGACCGGAAUUGACGCUGAGGUGCGAAAGCGUGGGGAGCAAACAGG
rnacentral:rRNA from 1 species